GGAGUCAUAGCUCAGCGGGAGAGCGCCUGUAUGACAUGCAGGAGGUCGGCGGUUCGAUCCCACCUGGCUCCACCA
rnacentral:tRNA from 1 species